GUGCUCACUUUGGGAGCACAUAUACUAAAACUGGAACAGUACAGAGAAGAUGAGCAUGGCCCCUGAGUAAGGAUGACAUGCAAAUUUGUGAAGCAUUCCAUAUCUUU
rnacentral:snRNA from 1 species